CGGCGCUUGAGGCUUUUUGCCUCAUGAUGUUUGAGUGUUUUGAUGUUGUGAGGCAGAAAGAAGAAAGCCCCGUAGGACGUUAAUUUUCAUUAACCAACCACACGAGGCCAUCUGCUUGACUAGACACCAACAGAGUAGCCUCUUAGCUGCCGUAAGGCAAGGAGAAAAAGGCUAUGAAA
rnacentral:antisense_RNA from 1 species